rnacentral:tRNA from 1 species
GCAAAAUGUAGUUCAAUGGUAAGAACACCAGCUUGCCAUGACUGGAUACGGGGGUUCAAUUCCCCUCAUUUGCUCCA